rnacentral:rRNA from 2 species
UGCAGUCGAACGGCAGCACGGGGGCAACCCUGGUGGCGAGUGGCGAACGGGUGAGUAAUACAUCGGAACGUGUCCUGGAGUGGGGGAUAGCCCGGCGAAAGCCGGAUUAAUACCGCAUACGCUCUAUGGAGGAAAGCGGGGGAUCUUCGGACCUCGCGCUCAAGGGGCGGCCGAUGGCAGAUUAGGUAGUUGGUGGGGUAAAGGCCUACCAAGCCGACGAUCUGUAGCUGGUCUGAGAGGACGACCAGCCACACUGGGACUGAGACACGGCCCAGACUCCUACGGGAGGCAGCAGUGGGGAAUUUUGGACAAUGGGGGCAACCCUGAUCCAGCAAUGCCGCGUGUGUGAAGAAGGCCUUCGGGUUGUAAAGCACUUUUGUCCGGAAAGAAAACUUCGCUCCUAAUACGGGUGGAGGAUGACGGUACCGGAAGAAUAAGCACCGGCUAACU